rnacentral:rRNA from 1 species
CCUACGGGGUGCAGCAGUGAGGAAUAUUGGUCAAUGGGCGGGAGCCUGAACCAGCCAUGCCGCGUGAAGGCGAGUGCCCUACGGGCGUUAAACUUCUUUUGUGUGGGAGCAAUAAGGGCCACGCGUGGCCCGAUGAGAGUACCGCACGAAUAAGCAUCGGCUAACUCCGUGCCAGCAGCCGCGGUAAUACGGGGGAUGCGAGCGUUAUCCGGAUUUAUUGGGUUUAAAGGGUGCGUAGGCGGAAUGCCAAGUCAGCGGUAAAAUCGCGGGGCUCAACCUCGCUCCGCCGUUGAAACUGGCGUUCUUGAGUGGGCGAGAAGUAUGCGGAAUGCGUGGUGUAGCGGUGAAAUGCAUAGAUAUCACGCAGAACUCCGAUUGCGAAGGCAGCAUACCGGCGCCCAACUGACGCUGAAGCACGAAAGCGUGGGUAUCGAACAGGAUUAGAUACCCUAGUAGUC